rnacentral:lncRNA from 1 species
CACUCUGGUCCCUACUGAUGGUCCUGUUGCUUUGGCGUUUACUUUACAACCCCACCGAUGGAUUUUGGGGGGUGGGGGUUCACUCAGAACCUCACGGACGCCCUUAUUAGGGCAAUGCCCCCCCCCCUCAUCGCCCCCCACCCCAUUACAGGACGGGGGGGCACGCCAGGCCAGCGAGGAAUCCUCCCUCCAAGAGACCCUGACCCGUUUGGAAACCGAAAUCGAGCGGUGCCGCGGGGCGGUGCGGGACACCCAGCUCAACCUCAGCCAAGCGGUGGUGGAAGCCAGCAGCCGGCGCAUCGUCAGCCUGGCGGGGCAGUGGGAGCGGCACCGCGGACCCCUCCUCACCGAGUACCGGCAGCUCCGCGCCCUGCGCGACUCCGCUCAGUUGGUGGAGCUGGAGGCGCUGCCCCGCGAUGUCUCCCGCGCCGUCUACACGCAGCGGAUCCUGGAGAUCGUCGGCAACAUCCGCAAGCAGAAGGAGGA